UACAGAGGGUGCGAGCGUUAAUCGGAAUUACUGGGCGUAAAGCGUGCGCAGGCGGUUUUGUAAGACAGAUGUGAAAUCCCCGGGCUCAACCUGGGAACUGCAUUUGUGACUGUAGAGCUGGAGUGCGGCAGAGGGGGAUGGAAUUCCGCGUGUAGCAGUGAAAUGCGUAGAUAUGCGGAGGAACACCGAUGGCGAAGGCAAUCCCCUGGGCCUGCACUGACGCUCAUGCACGAAAGCGUGGGGAGCAAACAGG
rnacentral:rRNA from 1 species